UCUUAAAAAUCUCUUGUUGAGUUACAAUGCAAACGCACGAGUGGAUUCAGUUGUUUCUUAUUGUUCACUGUAUUAAAGUCAGCCCACGGGUUCAUCAGCAAGUUAGAGGCUGUAGAUGUUCGUACAUUCAUUCACACAGUGUGUUUCAGGGAGUGGCUGAAAAAACAGAAUGUGGAACAAGCAGAAUUGGAAGCCAGGGUGGGAAAGGCUGGAUGUUGCAUCUCCGAAAAAAUCAUGGACAUUAAUAGACAAAACAAAAAGGCCACUUAAGUGGUGAGUGUCUAAGUCCAAAACAUUUCCAGUUGUACAGUAUAUUGCAUUUUCAUGUUUUGGAUUUUCCUUGUUUAGGCCCAUAGAUGUAUUGUGUGUUUAUUUGUAAUCUUAGUCAUUCAUCUUAUUAAAUAAUAUUAUGUAAUAUAUUUCCUAAUGUUUGUUACCUUAUUGUUAUUAAACUACAUUGUCAUGAAA